AGAGCGAACGCUGGCGGCAGGCCUAACACAUGCAAGUCGAGCGCCCGUAGCAAUACGGGAGCGGCAGACGGGAUAGUAACACGUGGGAACGCGCCCUUCGGUUCGGAAUAACUCAGGGAAACUUGAGCUAAUACCGGAUACGCCCUUACGGGGAAAGAUUUAUUGCCGAAGGAACGGCCCGCGUCCGAUUAGCUAGUUGGUGAGGUAAUGGCUCACCAAGGCGACGAUCGGUAGCUGGUCUGAGAGGAUGACCAGCAUCACUGGGACUGAGACACGGCCCAGACUCCUACGGGAGGCAGCAGUGGGGAAUAUUGGACAAUGGGCGCAAGCCUGAUCCAGCCAUGCCGCGUGGAUGAUGAAGGCCCUAGGGUUGUAAAGUCCUUUCGACGGGAAGAUAAUGACGGUACCGUAGAAGAAGCCCCGGCUAACUUCGUGCCAGCAGCCGC
rnacentral:rRNA from 1 species